rfam:Dipodomys ordii contig_15532, whole genome shotgun sequence.
GGGAAUGUGGCUUAGUGGUAGAGUGCUUGCCUAGAAUGCAUGAGACCCUAAGUUCAAUUCCUCAGUACCA